UUUUCUGUGUAUUCUUCUCCUUGUAGGAGGUCAUAUUUAUAAUACAACGAAACCUGAAUGGGCAAGUAAAUAAUAAAUUCCUAAAUCUAUUUGCAGUAGGAAAUCAGGAAUUAAAGUAAAUCAAUUACAAUUAUAAUAGGAAUUCUUGGUGUGUAAGGAAAGUAAGUCAAUAUCCACAAGUCACGCCAACACUCCCCCUCACGUUGGUG
rnacentral:lncRNA from 1 species